rnacentral:rRNA from 1 species
UAGGGAAUCUUCGGCAAUGGGGGCAACCCUGACCGAGCAACGCCGCGUGAGUGAAGAAGGUUUUCGGAUCGUAAAGCUCUGUUGUAAGUCAAGAACGGGUGUGAGAGUGGAAAGUUCACACUGUGAUGGUAGCUUACCAGAAAGGGACGGCUAACUACGUGCCAGCAGCCGCGGUAAUACGUAGGUCCCGAGCGUUGUUCGGAUUUCUUGGGCGUAAAGCGAGCGCAGGCGGUUGGAUAAGUCUGAAGGUAAAGGCUGUGGCUCAACCAUAGUUCGCUUUGGAAACUGUCAAACAUGAGUGCAGAAGGGGAGAGUGGAAUUCCAUGUGUAGCGGUGAAAUGCAUAGAUAUAUGGAGGAACACCGGUGGCGAAAGCGGCUCUCUGGUCUGUAACUGACGCUGAGGCUCGAAAGCGUGGGGAGCGAACAGG